rnacentral:rRNA from 1 species
UACGUAGGGUGCAAGCGUUGUCCGGAAUUAUUGGGCGUAAAGAGCUCGUAGGUGGUUUGUCGCGUUGUCCGUGAAAACUCACAACUCAAUUGUGGGCGUGCGGGCGAUACGGGCAGACUGGAGUACUGCAGGGGAGACUGGAAUUCCUGGUGUAGCGGUGGAAUGCGCAGAUAUCAGGAGGAACACCGGUGGCGAAGGCGGGUCUCUGGGCAGUAACUGACGCUGAGGAGCGAAAGCGUGGGGGAGCGAACAGG